rnacentral:lncRNA from 1 species
CCUAUGUGAAGCCUGAUCAGACCCAAAAGGUAUAUAAAUACCAGCACCUGGGUAUAAAGAAGUUUCUUGAGGAGGCCUGGGAGGGUGGGUGUGAUUAAUUUUCAGGUUCCUAAAAACAUGAAGACAGUUAAAAAAAAUGACAAAUCUGAGAAUAAAUUUUGUUUAUUUUUUUUCAGGAGUAGACCAGAAGAAUACCAUCCUUAGACCUGGGAAGUAGGGACUCCUGCCCUGGGGGCUGUAUUUCAGAGGCCUCCAAUCUGGCCCUUCUCUGGCCACAACUCUUCCCAUGAAGCAAGAAAACCUCAGCAUCAAGGAGAUGCGUCUCCCCUCUUCUAGACCAUGGGCCUGCUUCUCUUCUCAUACCCUGGGCCCACCUUAGGACCUACAUGAGCAGCAUUCUCAGAAUAUCCUCUCAAGGAACAAAGGUGCAUAAUCAGCUGCCUGCUGGUAUUCUGGGGAAAAAAUGUCCUUGGCUCCUUCUAGAUUUUACUUCAAGAGUAUUGAGAAACCCAAUGAGAUAAACCCAUGUUAUCAUCAUCAUGAGAAGAGAACUUCAAAGCCAUGGAAUCUAGAAAUAAAAUCAAUGGAUGACAUGACAGAAGAGGAAGGAGUGUGGCUUCAGGGACUUAUCAGUUCCAUCAACAUCUGUGGAAUGCAUUUUUUAGCAGUAUAUUUAUAAAG